rnacentral:rRNA from 1 species
GUGAGAGUGGCGGAAGGGCGAGGAACACGUGGGCAACCUGUCGUCUGAGGUGGGGAAAACCGUUGGAAACGACGGCUAAUACCGAAUGUAGCGCCCGCUCGCAUGAGCGGAGCGCCAAAGGGGGCGAAAGCUCCCCCUCUCCGAGGGGCCCGCGCACCAUCAGCUUGUUGGCGGGGUAACGGCCCACAAGGCUCACGGUUAGCUGGUCUGAGAGGAUGGCCAGCCGCACUGGGACUGAGAUACUGCCCAGACUCCUACGGGAGGCUGCAGUCGAGGAUCAUUUGCAAUGGGCGAAAGCCUGACAAUGCGACGCUGCGUGGAGGAUGAAGGCCCUCGGGUUGUAAACUCCUGUCAUGGGGGAAAAGGAAAAGGGACCCAACACGUCCCCGAUUUGAUGGUACCCCAAGAGGAAGCGACGGCUAACUCUGUGCCAGCCGCGGC